rnacentral:rRNA from 1 species
GGGGAAUAUUGCACAAUGGGCGCAAGCCUGAUGCAGCGACGCCGCGUGGGGGAUGACGGCCUUCGGGUUGUAAACCUCUUUCAGUAGGGACGAAGGGUGACUGACGGUACCUAUAGAAGAAGGACCGGCCAACUACGUGCCAGCAGCCGCGGUAAUACGUAGGGUCCGAGCGUUGUCCGGAAUUACUGGGCGUAAAGAGCUCGUAGGUGGUUUGUCGCGUUGUUCGUGAAAACUCACAGCUUAACUGUGGGCGUGCGGGCGAUACGGGCAGACUGGAGUACUGCAGGGGAGACUGGAAUUCCUGGUGUAGCGGUGGAAUGCGCAGAUAUCAGGAGGAACACCGGUGGCGAAGGCGGGUCUCUGGGCAGUAACUGACGCUGAGGAGCGAAAGCGUGGGGAGCGAAC